AUAAAUUGUUUCAUUCUAAAGCAGAAAAAUCUCAUCCUCCUCCAUCCUCCCACCGCCUCUCUCAAGGUCUCCUAGCAGAAGACACAUCUGGAACAUGCAGCAUGGUUUGGAAAGAUUGGAUAAACCUCGAGACAUUGAUAGCCAAGUGUCCCCAACUCCAUCAGUGGUAGGGCUGGCAGAAGAAGAAGAGUCCUCAAGAGUAAUUGGUAAUGGACAGUAAAGCUGUGUUCUCUGGCUCUGCAAGAUGAGAGAUGAUGCUUUGCAACAACACGUUGCUUUCUGCUGACUGCU